UACACUUACCAGAAUAAAGGGAAGAAGAUGG
rnacentral:piRNA from 1 species